GUACACUCCUGCGGGAGGCAGCAGUGGGGAAUAUUGGACAAUGGGCGCAAGCCUGAUCCAGCCAUGCCGCGUGAGUGAUGAAGGCCCUAGGGUUGUAAAGCUCUUUCACCGGUGAAGAUAAUGACGGUAACCGGAGAAGAAGCCCCGGCUAACUUCGUGCCAGCAGCCGCGGUAAUACGAAGGGGGCUAGCGUUGUUCGGAUUUACUGGGCGUAAAGCGCACGUAGGCGGACUAUUAAGUCAGGGGUGAAAUCCCGGGGCUCAACCCCGGAACUGCCUUUGAUACUGGUAGUCUUGAGUUCGAGAGAGGUGAGUGGAAUUCCGAGUGCAGAGGUGAAAUUCGUAGAUAUUCGGAGGAACACCAGUGGCGAAGGCGGCUCACUGGCUCGAUACUGACGCUGAGGUGCGAAAGCGUGGGGAGCAAACAGGAUUAGAUACCCCUGUAGUCCCAUGAU
rnacentral:rRNA from 1 species